rnacentral:rRNA from 1 species
GAUGAACGCUAGCUACAGGCUUAACACAUGCAAGUCGAGGGGAAACGACAUCGAAAGCUUGCUUUUGAUGGGCGUCGACCGGCGCACGGGGGAGUAACGCGUAUCCAACCUGCCCAUCACUUGGGAAUAACCUUGCGAAAGUAAGACUAAUACCCAAUGAUAUCCCACGAAGGCAUCGGAAUGGGAUUAAAGAUUUAUCGGUGAUGGAUGGGGAUGCGUCUGAUUAGCUUGUUGGCGGGGUAACGGCCCACCAAGGCAACGAUCAGUAGGGGUUCUGAGAGGAAGGUCCCCCACAUUGGAACUGAGACACGGUCCAAACUACUACGGGAGGCAGCAGUGAGGAAUAUUGGUCAAUGGGCGAGAGCCUGAACCAGCCAAGUAGCGUGCAGGAAGACGGCCCUAUGGGUUGUAAACUGCUUUUAUAAGGGAAUAAAGUGGGUCACGUGUGACUUUUUGCAUGUACCUUAUGAAUAAGGACCGGCUAAUUCCGUG